rnacentral:rRNA from 1 species
ACUCCUACGGGAGGCAGCAGUGGGGAAUAUUGCACAAUGGGGCGCAAGCCUGAUGCAGCAACGCCGCGUGAACGAAGAAGGCUUUCGGGGUACGUAAAGUUCUUUUCUUAGGGAAGAAAGAUGACGGUACCUAAGGAAUAAGCACCGGCUAAAUACGUGCCAGCAGCCGCGGUAAUACGUAUGGUGCAAGCGUUAUCCGGAAUCACUGGGCGUAAAGGGUACGUAGGCGGUGAUGCAAGUCAGAAGUGAAAGGCUACGGCUCAACCGUAGUAAGCUUUGAAACUGCAUGACUAGAGUUCAGGAGAGGUAAGUGGAAUUCCUAGUGUAGAGGUGAAAUUCGUAGAUAUUAGGAGGAACACCAGUGGCGAAGGCGACUUACUGGACUGAUACUGACGCUGAGGUACGAAAGCGUGGGGAGCGAACAGGAUUAGAUACCCGUGGUAGCGACUGA